CAACAAGGCAUUUCUGAAUCAACUGCAGCAAUGUUUCUGUGAGCAGUGUUGGCUGCAGUGGAUGCACUGGUGAUUAUCAAAAGCCAAACCCUGAACCCUCAUCACAUCUUGGGGCUUCUCUUUGGGGCUGUAAUAUAUGAAGAUUCUCGGUGGUAUUGUCCAUAUUCCUGGGUUUCCCCAUGCUUUCCUGAUUGUUCAGUGUUCAUUCUGUAAAAUUAGUAUGACACUGAGGACACAUUAGAAAAUUUAUAAAGCUUCUUGUUCUGCAUAAAACCAGUUACAUUUGCUGAUCAUGGCCAGCACUGUAGUUUCAGCAUUUAGAUGAAGUCAUGCAUGCAAGAGUCAACAGACUUCAGUUCUAGAGUCACAAAAUUAGCAUGCAGGGACUUGGGAAAACAAUUUCAAAGGACAACCAAUGUUAAUGAAGGCACCCAGGAGAAAUUUGAACUACUUGAUGGCAUAAAAG
rnacentral:lncRNA from 1 species